rnacentral:rRNA from 1 species
GAAUUCGCCCUUAGAGUUUGAUCCUGGCUCAGGACGAACGCUGGCGGCACGCUUAACACAUGCAAGUCGAACGAGAGAAGAGAAGCUUGCUUUUCUGAUCUAGUGGCGGACGGGUGAGUAACACGUGAGCAAUCUGCCUUUCAGAGGGGGAUACCGAUUGGAAACGAUCGUUAAUACCGCAUAACAUAAUUGAACCGCAUGAUUUGAUUAUCAAAGAUUUAUCGCUGAAAGAUGAGCUCGCGUCUGAUUAGCUAGUUGGUAAGGUAACGGCUUACCAAGGCGACGAUCAGUAGCCGGACUGAGAGGUUGAUCGGCCACAUUGGGACUGAGACACGGCCCAGACUCCUACGGGAGGCAGCAGUGGGGAAUAUUGCACAAUGGAGGAAACUCUGAUGCAGCGAUGCCGCGUGAGGGAAGAAGGUUUUAGGAUUGUAAACCUCUGUCUUUGGGGACGAAAAAUGACGGUACCCAAGGAGGAAGCUCCGGCUAACUACGUGCCAGCAGCCGCGGUAAUACGUAGGGAGCGAGCGUUGUCCGGGAUUACUGGGUGUAAAGGGAGCGUAGGCGGGAUCGCAAGUCAGAUGUGAAAACCAUGGGCUUAACCCAUAAACUGCAUUUGAAACUGUGGUUCUUGAGUGAAGUAGAGGUAAGCGGAAUUCCUAGUGUAGCGGUGAAAUGCGUAGAUAUUAGGAGGAACAUCAGUGGCGAAGGCGGCUUACUGGGCUUUAACUGACGCUGAGGCUCGAAAGCGUGGGGAGCAAACAGGAUUAGAUACCCUGGUAGUCCACGCCGUAAA